CGCGGCCUAUCAGCUUGUUGGUGGGGUAACGGCCUACCAAGGCGAUGACGGGUAGCCGGUCUGAGAGGACGAUCGGCCACACUGGGACUGAGACACUGCCCAGACUCCUACGGGAGGCAGCAGUGGGGAAUAUUGCGCAAUGGACGAAAGUCUGACGCAGCGACGCCGCGUGGGGGAGGAAGGCCUUAGGGUCGUAAGCCCCUGUCAGAUGGGACGAACCGUAGGUCGAAUAAUACUUGGCCUGCCUGACGGUACCAUCAGAGGAAGCUCCGGCUAACUCCGUGCCAGCAGCCGCGGUAAUACGGAGGGAGCAAGCGUUGUUCGGAAUUACUGGGCGUAAAGGGCGCGUAGGCGGCCUUGUAAGUCGGGUGUGAAAUGCCGGGGCUCAACUCCGUGCACUGCAUCCGAUACUGCUUGGCUGGAGAAAGGUAGAGGCGAGCGGAAUUCCCGGUGUAGCGGUGGAAUGCGUAGAUAUCGGGAAGAACACCUGUGGCGAAGGCGGCUCGCUGGGCCUUUUCUGACGCUGAAGCGCGAAAGCGUGGGGAGCAAACAGGAUUAGAUACCCUGGUAGUCCACGCCGUAAACGCUGGGUACUAGGUGUCGGGAGGCUUGGCCCUCUCGGUGUCGACCCUAACGGAUUAAGUACCCCGCCUGGGGAGUACGG
rnacentral:rRNA from 1 species